GUUGACGUUUUGUUGUGUGACUACCUGGAUAAGACUGGAAAGAUCAAGGCUGCAGUGAAUCAGGAUUGCAUCCCUCUGCUGGAGCUGAAUGGGACUGCUGCUGACAAGAGCCAUAUGGUUAACCUUAGACAGCAAAACGUGAGCCAUCUGGAGGACCUUAGACAUGGCAAGGCAAGAGCCAUCUGGUCGACCAUAGACAUAGCAAUCUGGUGGCUAAGUCCAAUGCUUACAGCCAACAGCUGUCUCAAAAUAAAUAAACAAAAAACCCAACAGUAAAUAUUUAACAAUAACAAAGAAAUAAUAACAAACAAUAUUAAAGAAAAUAAAUAAGGAGGAGUGAAAAAGGUAGAGUACAAUAAAUAUCACAAUGAAGAUUUUCUCCUCUCUCUUUCUCUCCAUUUGUGACACCCAGGCUGGAGUGUGACAAAAAAAAAAAAAGAAAGAAAGAAAAGAAAAUAGGUUAACUUCAGCUUACAGGAAGAAGUGUAGGAAAAUAGAGAAAAGAACAAAGAAGAAAAACAAUAGCAAGUCACUAUAAGUACUGUGGAAAUAAACUGAAAGUGGGUUGAGAAAAAAACAAACAAACAAACAAAAACAGAAAAAGAAGUUCUGAGUAGUCCCGGGUACUUGGGAGGCUGAGAUGAGAAGAACACGCAGGUGUGACCAGGGAGAUUGAGGCUGCAGUGAAUCACGAUCACAUCCUUCUGCUGGAACUGAACAGUACUGCUACCAGUGAGAGCCAUGUGGUGAAUCUUCGACAUGGUAAGGGAAGAGCCAUCUGGUUGACCUAAUACAUGUCAGGGCUAGAGUGUGAUAAAAAAAUAUUUAAAAGGUCAACUUCACUGAGGAGGAAGGAGCAUAGGAAAACACAGAAAAGAGCAAAGAAGAAAAAC
rnacentral:lncRNA from 10 species